GCUCGUGUAGCUCAGUGGUUAGAGCCUCGUGCUUAUAGCGGCAAAAGUUUUGACGUUGUGCAAAUGUCACGAGUAACGCGAUCGUCGUGGGUUCAAACCCCACCUCGAGCA
rfam:Cyberlindnera jadinii NRRL Y-1542 unplaced genomic scaffold CYBJAscaffold_8, whole genome shotgun sequence.